GGGUAGUCCUAGCCGUAAACGAUGCUCGCUAGGUGUCAGCCACGGUGCGACCGUGGUUGGUGCCGUAGGGAAGCCGUGAAGCGAGCCACCUGGGAAGUACGGCCGCAAGGCUGAAACUUAAAGGAAUUGGCGGGGGAGCACAACAACGGGUGGAGCCUGCGGUUCAAUUGGAUCCAACGCCGGAAAUCUCACCGGGGGCGACAGCGAUAUGAAGGUCAGGCUGAAGACCUUACUUGAUUAGCUGAGAGGUGGUGCAUGGCCGUCGUCAGUUCGUACUGUGAAGCAUCCUGUUAAGUCAGGCAACGAGCGAGACCCACGCCCACAGUUGCCAGCAUAUUCUCCGGAAUGAUGGGUACACUGUGGGGACCGCCGCUGCUAAAGCGGAGGAAGGAGUGGACAACGGUAGGUCAGUAUGCCCCGAAUCUCCCGGGCUACACGCGGGGCUACAAUGGUUGGGUACAAUGGGGCAUCUACCCCGAAAGGGGAACGGGGAAUCUCUUAAAGCCAACCCUAGUUCGGAUUGAGGGCUGC
rnacentral:rRNA from 1 species